CGCCUACGGGGGGCAGCAGUGGGGAAUAUUGCGCAAUGGGGGAAACCCUGACGCAGCAACGCCGCGUGCAGGAAGAAGGUCUUCGGAUUGUAAACUGUUGUCGCAGGGGAAGAAGACAGUGACGGUACCCUGUGAGAAAGUCACGGCUAACUACGUGCCAGCAGCCGCGGUAAUACGUAGGUGACAAGCGUUGUCCGGAUUUAUUGGGUUUAAAGGGUGCGUAGGCGGACGCUUAAGUCAGCGGUAAAAUUGCGGGGCUCAACCUCGUCG
rnacentral:rRNA from 1 species